rnacentral:rRNA from 1 species
ACGGGAGGCAGCAGUGAGGAAUAUUGGUCAAUGGGCGGAAGCCUGAACCAGCCAAGUCGCGUGAGGGAAGAAGGUCCUACGGAUUGUAAACCUCUUUAGCCGGGGAGCAAUAAGCGCUAUGUAUAGCGUGAUGAGAGUACCCGGAGAAUAAGGAUCGGCUAACUCCGUGCCAGCAGCCGCGGUAAUACGGAGGAUCCGAGCGUUAUCCGGAUUUAUUGGGUUUAAAGGGUGCGCAGGCGGAGGAUUAAGUCAGCGGUGAAAUUCUCAUGCUCAACAUGAGAACUGCCAUUGAUACUGGUCCCCUUGAGAGAUGUCGAGGAUGGCGGAAUGUGAUGUGUAGCGGUGAAAUGCUUAGAUAUGUCACAGAACACCGAUUGCGAAGGCAGCUGUCCAGAGAUCAUCUGACGCUCAGGCACGAAAGCAUGGGUAUCAAACAGGAUUAGAUACCCUGGUA